GACGAACGCUGGCGGCGUGCUUAACACAUGCAAGUCGAACGGUAAGGCCCUUCGGGGUACACGAGUGGCGAACGGGUGAGUAACACGUGGGUGAUUUGCCCUGCACUUCGGGAUAAGCCUGGGAAACUGGGUCCAAUACCGGAUAGGACCACUGCCUGCAUGGGUGGUGGUGGAAAGCUUUUGCGGUGUGGGAUGGGCCCGCGGCCUAUCAGCUUGUUGGUGGGGUGAUGGCCUACCAAGGCGACGACGGGUAGCCGGCCUGAGAGGGUGACCGGCCACACUGGGACUGAAAUACGGCCCAGACUCCUACGGGAGGCAGCAGUGGGGAAUAUUGCACAAUGGGCGCAAGCCUGAUGCAGCGACGCCGCGUGAGGGAUGACGGCCUUCGGGUUGUAAACCUCUUUCAGCACCGACGAAGCGCAAGUGACGGUAGGUGCAGAAGAAGGACCGGCCAACUACGUGCCAGCCGCCGCGGUAA
rnacentral:rRNA from 1 species